ensembl:lncRNA
AUCUUAAGUAUGCGCAGCUGUUGUUGAGAUGCCCUCUGAGGAUGUUCUGGGUGGGGCUUCCUGACAAACACCUAUAGGACAGUGGCCCUGGCUGCUCAGGACUUUCACAAGAGUGCAUGAACCACUCUGUCCCCUGGAGACCACCCCACAAAGGAGCCAGAAGGAGGUCUUAGUUGAUAGCCACUCUCACAUUACCGGAUCAAAUGGGAUGGCUAGAAUUGAUGGAGAAAAAUGGGAAGACUGGUCUAACACCUAGCCCUUUGUCCAGCAUGUGGCUGCAGCUUGCAGAAGGGACAGAAUGAAGUCCCAUGGGUUUUUCUCAGCCCAAUCUCACCUGCCUGGAUCAAGACUUGAGCCCUUGAUGUCUGUCCCUUCAACCUGCUCCACUCUGGACUUCUUCUUUUCAAUGACUGGCACCUCCAUUCACCCAGUUACUCACCCAAAACACUGGACUCCUCCUUUUGUUGCCCUCACGUGCAAACC